UAAAGAAACAACAUGGGCAGUGUCUGUGCUGCCUUCGAGGGAGGGCUCUGGGUAAUCCCUUCUCGCUCUGCCCCCAUCCUUCACCCCCCACCAUCCUGUCUGAGGCCCAGUUUUAGCCCCAGUGCUGCUUAAUUCCCAAUGGGGAGAUAUUUGCAGGGUGGGAUUUUAUUUCCAGCAGCUAAAUGAGCCUCUCGAAACUAUUCUACCAGCACUUGUGUAGGGGGAAGAUGCUGCACUGCUUUUUGCUCAGAGAAAAGGAGCCUGACAGCUUAGCGCUGCUCAGAGACAGGAAAAUUACUUUGUCUGCUUUUGCAGAGCAACGUGAGAGAAGGAGCAGUGGCGAUUCCUGCGAAUGCUUUCAGCCAAAAAACGGGAGGCUUGGGCUGUGAUUCAUGCUGUCAGCCACAGGAAAAGUCCCUGCCCCAGCAAAUAAGUCGGGGUUUGCCAUGGGAACGUCCCUGCUGGCGCUUGCCUGGUUCACCUGCCCGGGACAGGGGCCAUCACCACCAGCUCGGCGCUGUCAGGAGCCACCCAGCCGCAAGGCUUCGGCACGGUGCAGUGCCAGCAGUGUGUUUUCGGCACACGGAGCCGCGUCGUGAAGGCAACGGCUGUGGUGCUCAAGGGAAAAACAACAGCGCUUGAAGAAGGACGGGCUACAGGCCCAGCCAGAAAAAGGCCAGCCGUAAAGGCCGGGCUGCCCGGCAUGCUGGGCCUGGCAGGGCCGCAGCUCGCCUGUUUGCCUUCUGGGAGAAGUCCCCGCCGUGGCUGGCUUUGCCU
rnacentral:lncRNA from 1 species